rnacentral:rRNA from 1 species
GUAACACGUAAGCAACCUGCCCCAGAGACCGGGACAACGUUCCGAAAGGAGCGCUAAUACCGGAUGUGCCCACCUUUAGACAUCUUCGGGUGAGUAAAUCGCGCAAUCGGCUCUGGGAGGGGCUUGCGGCCUAUCAGCUAGAUGGUGGGGUAACGGCCUACCAUGGUGACGACGGGUAGCUGGUCUGAGAGGAUGGU